GAUGAAGAACGUAGCGAAAUGCGAUAACUAAUGUGAAUUGCAGAAUUCCGUGAAUCAUCGAGUCUUUGAACGCACAUUGCGCCCCCUGGUAUUCCGGGGGGCAUGCCUGUCCGAGCGUCAUUGCUGCCCUCAAGCACGGCUUGUGUGUUGGGCCCCGUCCUCCGAUCCCGGGGGACGGGCCCGAAAGGCAGCGGCGGCACCGCGUCCGGUCCUCGAGCGUAUGGGGCUUUGUCACCCGCUCUGUAGGCCCGGCCGGCGCUUGCCGAUCAACCCAAAUUUUUAUCCAGGUUGACCUCGGAUCAGGUAGGGAUACCCGCUGAACUUAAGCAUAUCAAUAAGCGGAGGA
rnacentral:misc_RNA from 1 species